rnacentral:rRNA from 1 species
GUCUUCAGUCAUAUCACCUUUUACAUGCCCAAUCUCAUCUGAUCUCGGAAGCUAAGUAGGAUGGGUCUGGUUAGUACUUGGGAUGGGCUAAAACCUUCUUAGGAUUCAAGACC